UACAGAGGUCUCAAGCGUUGUUUGGAUUCAUUGGGCGUAAAGGGUGCGUAGGCGGCGCGGUAAGUCGGGUGUGAAAUCUCGGAGCUUAACUCCGAAACUGCAUUCGAUACUGCCGUGCUUGAGGACUGGAGAGGAGACUGGAAUUUACGGUGUAGCGGUGAAAUGCGUAGAUAUCGUAAGGAAGACCAGUGGCGAAGGCGGGUCUCUGGACAGUUCCUGACGCUGAGGCACGAAGGUCAGGGGAGCAAACGGG
rnacentral:rRNA from 1 species